AUUGAACGCUGGCGGCAUGCCUUACACAUGCAAGUCGAACGGCAGCACGGGGGCAACCCUGGUGGCGAGUGGCGAACGGGUGAGUAAUACAUCGGAAUGUACCCAGUAGUGGGGGAUAACUAGUCGAAAGAUUAGCUAAUACCGCAUACGCACUAUGGUGGAAAGCGGGGGAUCGCAAGACCUCGCGCUAUUGGAGCAGCCGAUGUCCGAUUAGGUAGUUGGUGGGGUAAAGGCCUACCAAGCCUGCGAUCGGUAACUGGUCUGAGAGGACGACCAGUCACACUGGGACUGAGACACGGCCCAGACUCCUACGGGAGGCAGCAGUGGGGAAUUUUGGACAAUGGGGGAAACCCUGAUCCAGCAAUGCCGCGUGUGUGACGAAGGCCUUCGGGUUGUAAAGCACUUUUGGCGGGAACGAAACGGCGCUUUCUAAUACAGAGCGCUAAUGACGGUACCCGCAGAAUAAGCACCGGCUAACUACGUGCCAGCAGCCGCGGUAAACAUACUCG
rnacentral:rRNA from 1 species